GUUAUUAUUAUUAAUAUUAAAAUUAAUGUUAUUAUUAUCAAUAUUAUCAUUUCUUUUUGUUAUCUAUCAUUUGGACUGUAUUAUUAUUAUAGAUACUAGAACACACCCGCGAAAUCGCGGGCAUAUACAGCUUGUGAACUGUUGUAGGAUGAUUUUUUUGUAUACGAUAUUAUGUAUGGAUAAGUUCAUAAAAGGUAUCAAAAGCUCUCUUCCUUUUUCCAAAGUCCGAUACUUGUUUUCUUUCUGUUAAAUUCAAUUAUUUUUGUGUUUCUGGCCUUUUGGUAAAAGUCAAAUUAAAUUAAAAAAUGGACCGCUUCAAACAUGAAAUAAAUGUAACUGCUUAUAUAUAGACCAUUGUUAGUCUAAUAAAAUAUGCUUCUAGGACAAUCCAUCGGUGCUUUUUCGAUUUAGAGCCUUAUUAACAUGCCAAUGGUAGGAUAUGGAUCUUGUAUAAAUGACUAAGACCGACUAAAGCUAAUUUGAGGGGUGGUCGGAGGGUCCUGAUCCCAAAAUCCCGACCUUAAAAACAUGAAAUCCCGGGAUGCAGAAUCUAAAGAAAUUCAUAUCACAAAAUCCCGAAAUCGAAAAAUAUAUUCCCGGAUCCCGUAAGGAUCAACAUCCCCAAAUCCCGAGCUUUAACACCCGAUCCGACGUCAGAAAAAGGUCCUGCCUCCCUCUAACUCUACCCUACUUUCAUUUUUGCCAAAUCACUACCUGCGAAUUCACUUUCAACAAUAUUUUUGCCAAAUCACUACCUUCGAAUUCACUUUCAACAAUAAGUUUUUUUAUGCCCCAUUUAUGGGCAUUAUGUUUUCUAGUCUGUGCAUCGGUGCGUUCGUUCGAUCGUUCGCCCAUCCGUCUGUCCCGCUUCAGGUUAAAGUUUUUGGUCGAGGUAGUUUAAGUCCAAUCAACUCGAACUUCAGUACAUAUAGUGCCGAUGUGGCAUCCGUGUACUAAAUAUGGACAUAUUCUUGUUUCAACAUGUUUUACUUUUUUCAAAUAUAUAUGCAACUGGUAUGACCCCCUAAAUAGUAAACACUUCAAAGAAAACAGUAGACAGAAUACAGAGUCUCUAUAUAUUAAAGUAGUAUAAUGAUAACCGUAGUUAACAUGUAGAUAAACGCGAAAAAAUAAUUGUCCCAUCCUCUAAGGAGGUGUAAUAGUUGUGGUUCUUGCGAUCUAAACACCAUGAUA
rnacentral:lncRNA from 1 species